rnacentral:rRNA from 1 species
UUGAAUGGCCGCGGUAUUUUGACCGUGCUAAGGUAGCAUAAUCAUUAGUUUUUUAAUUGAAAGCUGGAAUGAAGGGCUGAAUGAAAAAAAAACUGUCUCUAAUUAAUUAUUUUAGAAUUUUAUUUUUAAGUUAAAAAGCUUAAAUUUUAUUAAAAGACGAGAAGACCCUAUAGAGUUUAAUAAUUAUAUAUUAUAAAAAAUUUGGAAUUUAUUUUUUUAAUUUUAUAUAAGAAUUUGAUUGGGGUGAUUAAAAAAUUUAAUAAACUUUUUUAUUUAAUUAUAUUAAUGAAUAAUUAGUUGAUCCAGAAAUUUUGAUUAUAAGAUAAAAUUACCUUAGGGAUAACAGCGUAAUUUUGUUAGAGAGUU